rnacentral:tRNA from 1 species
ACACCUGUGGUGAAGUGGUUAUCAUGCUUGCCUUCCAAGCAAGCGGCACGAGUUCGAUUCUCGUCAGGUGUA